rnacentral:rRNA from 1 species
GACGUAGGGCGCGAGCGUUGUCCGGAUUUAUUGGGCGUAAAGAGCUCGUAGGCGGCUUGUCGCGUCGGCUGUGAAAACCCGCGGCUCAACUGUGGGCGGGCAGCUGAUACGGGCAGGCUAGAGUUCGGUAGGGGAGACUGGAAUUCCUGGUGUAGCGGUGAAAUGCGCAGAUAUCAGGAGGAACACCGGUGGCGAAGGCGGGUCUCUGGGCCGAUACUGACGCUGAGGAGCGAAAGCGUGGGGAGCGAACAGG